UGCCCAAAAGAUAAAUUUUAUCGAUUGAUAAUGUUUCUUUAAACACCAAUGUUUCUUCUUCAUCUGCAAUCUCUGAUACUCAUUCAUCUUCUUUUGAAGAAUUUGAGAAUAAUGAAUUAAAUAAAAAAAUCAAUCACCAUAUUGGUUUCAAUAUUUUUAUUGGGAUCCCUUCUAAUUUUCCGAACAUGAGGAGUAUUUGUCGUAACCUGAUUGUGAAGAAUGCUUCAGCUGAAACUACAGAUAAGUUACAAGCUCAAGACGAUGAUGGGCUCAUUGCUUUUGCUCGGAUUAUGAAGCUGAAGAUUGAAGCUGUUAGAACCAGUAUAGAGGAAGAAUCUAUUGAGGUAAUUGGUUUUAACCCAAUUUCAUAUUCUAUGGUUAGUCAUGAUUUACAUGGAUCAUAAAAUCAUAUCUUGAAAUAUCAGAGGGUUGGGUCAAGAUGACAAAAUUAUUGAAAUUAGGAAGAACAAUGUAACAAUUUGCACAAUCAAGAGUAAAAAAAAGAAAGAAAUUGUUACUGAUUCACUUAUUAGGUCUUUGCGGGGAAAUUCCAAUUGUAAUUUCGUGUAUGUCCCUUCUGAGGGUGCUUCUGGAGGUAUAAUAGUGAUGUGGAAGGAAGGAGUGGUGAAGAUGGAAGACUAUCUACUAGGGGAUUUUUCACUCAGAAUAAAAUUCAAGAAUUGUUCUGGUAACUUUGUAUGGCAUUUCACGUCUGUUUAUGGAAAUCUGACUAUGGAUACUACAGAUAAUAUUGGCAAGAAUUUUCUGAUAUUAGACUUUUAUAUGAUGGCCCAUGGGCAGUUAAAGGAGAUUUUAUUGCAAUUCUUUCUCAAUCCGAGAGAAAUGUUUCUGGUGGUAGUGCAACUAGUAGAAAUUAUUUCAGAAGAUUUGUUAGUAAGCAUGAGCUGAUGGACCUGCCUAUGUCCGGGGAAAAAAAAUACUUGGACUAACUCUCAACAUUUGGAUAAAUUUUUAGUCGCUGAAGAAUGGCGUGCACAUUGCCUUGAGCUCAUGCAGAUGAGGACGAAAAUACCUAUCUCUGAUCACUCUCCAAUUCUCUUAUCUUGCAACUAUGGUAUGAAGUUCAAGGCCCUUUUCAGACUUGAUAAUUAUUUGCUUCAUCAUCCUUCUUUACUUCCAAAUUUGAAGUUACAGUGGUCUAAUUUUACUUUUACUGGAAAGCCUAGAUUUAUUUUUGCUAAGAAGCUGCAAUCACUGAAUUUUUUAUUAAAGCUUGGAAGAAAUCAAUGGGUGAUUUGCAAUUACAAGUGGAUCAGCUUGAGGAGUUUAUUGAGUCUAGGGAAAUUAUGGAAGAAGAUGCACAAUUGACUAUUAAUGAUGUUCUUGUCAGGGAGGAGGCUAACGCAAAACAUGCUUCCUUAUCUUUAAAUAUUAAAAGGAAAUGGGGUCAAAGGGCUAAAGAGAGAUGGGCUAAAGAUGCAGAGCAAAAUUUCAGGUAUUUACAUCAAAUGGCCUCCUAUAAAUAUUGUUAUAGAAAUAUCAAUUGUUUAAACAUAGAAGGUGAGCUUUACUAUGAUAAAGUGAAAAUUGCAAAGGAAGCAACAGAAUUUUAUUCUAAUCUUUUCACUGAAGAUCACUUUAUAAGGAUGGAUUUUGAAGAUAUUGAGCUACCUACCAUUUAUGUAUCUGAGAGCAUAUCUUUGGAAAGGCCCUUCUCUGAAGAAAAAGUGAAGCAUGUCAUUUGGAACUUUGGCUUUAAUAAGGCUCUGAGACCGGAAGAUUUGACUAUGGAGUUUUUUAAAGUUGUUUGGGAGGUAAUUAGGUUAUUAAAGAAUUUGAAUCCAGGGGUUCUCUUGAUUGGAGAAUCAAUUGCACCAACCUUAAGUUGCUUCCAAAAUGCAUUGGCGAUGUAUCUCUUCACAAUCUUAGACUAAUUAGUUUGAUAGGAUGGGUGUAUAAGAUUUUGUCAAAAUUACUGGCAGAUAGGAUGAAGUUAGUUUUACCUUCCUUAAUCACUAAUUUUCAAGGAGAUUUCAUCCAUGAAAGGCAAAUCAGUGAUGGUAUAUUGAUUGCAGCAGAAUUAAUUGAUUCAAGGAAAAGAAAGAAUAAGUCUGGCUUUGUUUGUAAGGUGGAUUUUACAAAGGCUUUUGACAACAUCAAGUGGAAUUCUGCUGACAUUGUUCUUCAAAGGUUUAUCUUUGGAAAUAUAUGGAGAGGAUGGAUAAAGUGGUGCAUCUCUCGGGCAAGAUUUUUUAUCCUCGUUAAUGGUGAAGCUACUCCUUGUUUCAAGAGUCAGAAAGGAAUUAGACAAGGCGAUCAUAUAUAUCCUUUCUUAUUCAUUACGGUGGCUGAAAUUCUCUCGAAGAUGAUCCAAAAAGCUGCUUCAUUUGGUCUUCUGUUUGGUUUUAAAGUUUCUACAAAUGGUUCUCUUAUCAAUGAUCUCCAGCUCGCAGACGAUUUAAUAGUUUUAAUUGAUGACAUGGUGAAUCAGAUCUCGGAUUUGAAGGAUAUUUUGUCUGCUUUACUUGUUUCUGGUUUAAAGGUUAAUCUCAGUAAAAGCUUUGUGGUUGGUAUAAGGGAUAACCAUCUUGGAAUCCCUCAUGGCAGUAAAUCAAAAUCAAAAUUUGUUUGAGACGUGUUGAUUCAUAGAUGCCGCCAGAAGCUAAGCACUUGGAGAAGAAGAUACCUUUCUAAAGGUCAGCGUCUUAUCAUGAUAAUUAGUGUUCUUGCGACUAUCCAAUCUAUUAUUGUCUCUAUUUCAAAUGCCCAUGACAGUGGUUAAGGGAAUAAAGAAAAUAAUGCAAAAUUUCCUUUGGAUGAGAGAAAAAGGCUCUUUGGCGGCAGAUUAUUAAUGAAAAAUUUGGAGGUAAUCCUGAUUUUUUCCCCCUAAUGCUUCUAAGAAAUCUGUGGGUAAUAGUCUAUGGGAUGGAAUUCUUAAAUCAAGGGAUUAUGUUAAGGCAAACACGUUUCGUAUAGUGCAUAAUGGUAGGAGCAUUCACGUUUGGUCGGAUAAAUAGAUUGGUGAAAUUAGUCUUAAGGUUAGUUUCCAAUUAAUCUAUAAACUAUCAAGGUGUAAGUCUACCUCUGUUAAAGAUAUGCUUACUACUCAAGGGUCUUGGAAUUUUAAUUUCAAAAGGAAUUUGAAUGAAGCUGAAAUUGGUGAAGUGCCUCAUCUUAUUCAAUUAUAAUACAGUUUUGCUACAAAAAUCCACAACUGUUUAGAAAAUGAUGUUAGAAGGUGGGGUUUUGCUCAAGAUUUUUCUGUAGCUAACUGUUGCAGUUCUAUGGAUGUGGAUGGGUUCAUUGCAUUUCCGCAUAAACAGGUAUGGAACACAAAAAUUCUUUUGAAAGUCUCUUUUCUUAUAUGGACUUUAUGUCAUCAAGGAGCUCCUACUUUAGACAAGCUACAUAGGCCUGGCUUAGUAAACUCAGAUCAGUGCAUUUUGUGUGAUGAUGUUCAAGAAACUCAAAGCCAUCUUUUUCUUCAUUGCGACGAGACUAGGAAGGUUUGGAAAUGCUUCCUUGAUAGUUUUGGAGUAAGUUGGGUUUUCUCAGAAAGUAUUAAAGCUAAAAUUUGGGAAUUGACAAAUAAGAAGAGUAACAAUAUGGUGAAGAAAAUUCGGGGUAUCUUGCCUUUUGCAACCUGGUGGACAUGAGCGCAACGACAGGUUAAAAACCGGAAGAAAAGUAUUAAUCAACUAAUUAUUUAUCUCAAGUGUACGUUGUUUAAUUGGAGCAUCCAUUCUAAGCUUUUGGGGGGAAUUACUCUGGGUACUUCUAUUUGUAAUUGGGAAGCUGUUAUACACAACUAAUUUUUGUAUCUUUUUCCAUUUUUCUUUCAUUGUAUCUUUUGACAUUCAUUGCUUUGAUGAUUGUUAGUUUUUAAUAUAAUUUUCCCUUUUUCUUUAAAAAAAAAAUUAGAAUGUCGCAGGUUGUUUUAAGAGUAAAUGAGAUUGUGGAAGAGAGGGGGAAAACGUGCUUUGUUCACACGUCUGAGUGAUGUGUACCCACCCAUUUUUGGAGAAAAAGUUAGUCCCAAACCCAUAUUUUCCCGUUGAAUAACCAUUAGUGUUGCGGCAUCAGCUCAUAGAGAUGGAGAUCGACAGAAGCAAUUAUUGGCUCUACAACAGCAACAACAAAAAUGUGUUCGGAGGAUUUCCGUGAGUCGAAAUUGAGGUUUGUUGGCCUGAAUUUAAGGCCGAAAAAUCAAAUUCAAAGCCUGAUCUUGCUGUUGAUUCAUACGAAUGGUUGACGGUGGUAAUUGGAUGGGUUGAUAUGGUUGUAUGAUAACAUGAAUCAGCUUAUUUUGGCAGUGGUGAUUUACCUAAUCCUAGAUUGAGUUUUGGUUGCAAGUAUGAAGACUCAGUUGUGUAGAAACAGAAGUCCAGGGAACAGAGAUGAGAAGUGAUGGCAGUUGGUGACUGAUGGUGUUGGUUCAUGCGGUCUAAAUGAGACCUUUGAGAGAAGAGAGUAUCGAUUCACGAGUUUACUGGUUUGGGUUCGUGUAGGAGUUGUGUUGUAAAACUUCUGGUACCUCAAAUGAGAACAACUAGGUACUUGGUUGAACUGAAGUACAGGGAGUUAGAAGAGAUUUGUGGAGAACUGCUGGCUCGAUUUGAUUUUAUAUGAAUCUGUUUAAUCGAAUGGAGUUUAGUCGCUGGUGUUGUUUGCUUAUACAACUAGUAGGACGAGAUUACAAGACCCAAGGAAUAGAAAAUUGUUGGUGGUUAAUAUAAUGCACGCCUAUUGUCUGAGAAAUUAGCUGAGAGAAAAGCAAGGGUCCUAAACGUAAUGAAUUUGGUUGAAUCAAUAUGGUGUUAACUGAAAGAAAGAGCUGAGACUUGGUAUUGAGUCGUGAAGCUUGUGGUUGUAUAUCGAGCUUAAAAAGAAGAUGGAAACAACAAAGAGGGUGAAAAUGUGCUGAGUUCGAUGAUGUUAAGUUCAGUUAAAAUCAGUCUCAAGAAGAGAACUGAUGCGAUGGUCGGGAUGUUGGCUGAGUUUGUACAACGAGUUGAGAGAAGUGCUGUGGUCGGAAAUUGAUUUGGUCAGCGAAUAGUAGUUGGCUAAACUGUGCAGGCGGUGGUUCGCGAGUCUGGAAAGGAGCUGAAGUUGACGGACAUGACAGGAAGUAGCUGCACUUGGAAAGAGUUUGGAUAUGGAAUUCAAAUUAAGUUUUGUAUGGAGUUUGUCAUCAACUAAAUUCAUGGAUUUUUGUACUUGGAUUUAAAUUAAGUUUUGUAUGGAAUUCAGAUUACAAGAAGGUGAAAAUGUUGUUGGUUGUUGAGAAAUGGGAAAGGUGUUUAUGCUUUUUGGUUUGUA